UGACUNGAGUGCAGAAGGGGAGAGUGGAAUUCCAUGUGUAGCGGUGAAAUGCGUAGAUAUAUGGAGGAACACCAGUGGCGAAAGCGGCUNUCUGGUCUGUCACUGACGCUGAGGCUCGAAAGCGUGGGUAGCGAACAGGAUUAGAUACCCUGGUAGUCCACGCCGUAAACGAUGAGUGCUAGGUGUUAGGCCCUUUCCGGGGCUUAGUGCCGGAGCUAACGCANUAAGCACUCCGCCUGGGGAGUACGACCGCAAGGUUGAAACUCAAAGGAAUUGACGGGGGCCCGCACAAGCGGUGGAGCAUGUGGUUUAAUUCGAAGCAACGCGAAGAACCUUACCAGGUCUUGACAUCCCGAUGCUAUUCUUAGAGAUAGGAAGUUACUUCGGUACAUCGGAGACAGGUGGUGCAUGGUUGUCGUCAGCUCGUGUCGUGAGAUGUUGGGUUAAGUCCCGCAACGAGCGCAACCCUUAUUGUUAGUUGCCAUCAUUAAGUUGGGCACUCUAGCGAGACUGCCGGUAAUAAACCGGAGGAAGGUGGGGAUGACGUCAAAUCAUCAUGCCCCUUAUGACCUGGGCUACACACGUGCUACAAUGGUCGGUACAACGAGUUGCGAGCCGGUGACGGCAAGCUAAUCUCUGAAAGCCGAUCUCAGUUCGGAUUGGAGGCUGCAACUCGCCUCCAUGAAGUCGGAAUCGCUAGUAAUCGCGGAUCAGCACGCCGCGGUGAAUACGUUCCCGGGCCUUGUACACACCGCCCGUCACACCACGAGAGUUUGUAACACCCGAAGUCGG
rnacentral:rRNA from 1 species